UGGAUAGCCGAGUUGGUUAAAGUGUGGUGCUGAUAAUGCCAAGAUUGCAGGUUCGAUCCCGAUAUGGGACAA
rnacentral:tRNA from 1 species